AUUGAACGCUGGCGGCAUGCCUUACACAUGCAAGUCGAACGGUAACGCGGGGCAACCUGGCGACGAGUGGCGAACGGGUGAGUAAUAUAUCGGAACGUGCCCAGUAGUGGGGGAUAGCCCGGCGAAAGCCGGAUUAAUACCGCAUACGACCUAUGGGUGAAAGCGGGGGAUCGCAAGACCUCGCGCUAUUGGAGCGGCCG
rnacentral:rRNA from 1 species